GUUUUCUUAGCCCUGACAUUCGAUGCCCUGCCGGUUAUUCAAUAACCAAAAAUGAGGCGACUCCUACAAAUUCCUGGAUCUCCAUGGGGAUGGAGAAGGAGGGGCUGUGCUUCGUCUGCCAAACUGUGGGUUUGAUUAAGGGCACCGGAGGAGAAGCCAGAACUGGAAACCUGCCUCUAGGAAGAUGGGUAGAUGGAAGAAAAUGCAAGAAAGAUAUUCAGAGGCAAGUGGGAUCAUUUCUGCGUGAUCUUCAUGCACUGUCAGGAGGCCAGGUGUGACUCCAGGAGCUCAGGCUCCCGACAUCUUGUUACAGCAGUCAUACGAAGGAAGUGGGCGACACGGGUGUCCCCCACCACCCUCGCACUAACUGCUAGGGCCAAGAGGAAUAUUUUCAUCCAGUCUUUCUCCCCCUUUCUUUCUUCUUUUAAGCUUCUUCCAGUGAUAAAAGCUGGAGCAAAUUGAAAUUGGCAGCUCUGUGGUCUUCAAG
rnacentral:lncRNA from 1 species